GACGGAGGGUGCUAGCGUGGUUCGGAAUCACUGGGCGUAAAGGGCGCGUAGGCGGCCCCUCGCGUCGGACGUGAAAGCGCGGGGCUCAACCUCGCGUCGGCCAUGCGGACUGGGGGGCUGGAGCACGUCAGAGGCAGGCGGAAUUCCGGGUGUAGCGGUGGAAUGCGUAGAGAUCCGGAAGAACACCGGUGGCGAAGGCGGCCUGCUGGGACGUGGCUGACGCUGAGGCGCGAAAGCGUGGGGAGCAAACAGG
rnacentral:rRNA from 1 species